CUGAACCGAACCGCACUGUGACGCUCUCUCUCUCUCUCUCUCUCUGAAGCUGAACACACUUCUUCUCUCAGAGGUCAGGUGACGAUGCAUUCCGCUGGGAUCGCCCGCCCGUCAUGGGCCCGGAAGCGCCGACCAGAAACCGACGAGUGAGUCUUCCUUCUCGAAUCUCCCUCAAUGCUCUCCCUUUACUGCUGUUCUUCUUUUGCUUUGUAGGUGUAGGAGUAGGAGCGGGAGGCUCUUUUGAUCGCUAAUGGCGACACACGUCUUGUUUAUUUUUUAUUGUGACUGUAAUGUAAGAAUCACUGCAGAGCUCAUUGAUCCUGCGAGGAAAAGUAUCCCAGAAUUAUUAACUCCAAAUACAUCCAUGCCCGCUGACAUCGAGCAGCAGCUCGAGAAGCUACUUACGACUUACCGUACUUUCAUGGUCCAAAGCUAAGAAGUGAGAGUUUGGAGCUUUGAGUAAAUUUUUCUCCAUGGAAAAUUUCACAUGGAUGAAGGUGUUAGUAUCUGUAAAAUUGCCAUAAAAAAUGUUUGUAAUUAUAGUUUUGGUUUCCAAACGAUGUUUUUGAGGGUGAAAGUUGUGAUUUCCCAUUUACAGAUGAUUCGCCGGGCAGUUGAGGAACUAAAUGAGGAGGGCGGAUCAGAUGAGGAAGCAAUAUCAAAGAGUAUCAAACUCGAGCACAAGAGCUUGCUUCAGGUGACAUGCAAGUUUUCUGAGUCAUCGUUUACAGAAACUCAGUGAGGAGGGAAAGAUUGUCCGUGUAUCUGCUGAUCGGUAUAUGUUGCCUCAAAAUCCUCGCGGACGCUGAGGGAGGCCUCCUUAACAGAAAUCAGCUCUCACUUCUGCCAUGGAGCUUAGGAACCAAAGCCUCUGCUCUAAAGCUUAGUAGCUUCCAUCCUAUUCCUGGUGAUGUGAGACGCCCCCAAAUGGAAGGCCUUGCCAAGCUGACAGUCGGAGGAUAUAUACAUAUAUAUAUAUAUUUUCAUGUUUUAGCAUAUCGAUUAUUUUUUGCAUUGGGCCUUCCGAGCAUACAAACUAUAAAGUUGCCUUUCCUUGCAGCAGAAAUUGUUCAGGUUUUUUUUCUUAAGACACAUCCACAGUAAUUGUUUGUGGAUCUGAGAGGAAAAAAAAAAAACUUUGGCUACCAGUAUAAUAUUUGAAUAGUUUCCCUAAAGAAGCUGAUCAUAUUAUAAA